rnacentral:rRNA from 1 species
GCAAGUCGAACGAGGUGCAUCCUUCGGGGUGUUACCUAGUGGCGGACGGGUGCGUAACACGUGGGAAUCUACCUUAUAGUGGGGGAUAACUUCUGGAAACGGGAGCUAAUACCGCAUACGCCCUUCGGGGGAAAGAUUUAUCGCUAUAAGAUGAGCCCGCGGUGGAUUAGGUAGUUGGUGAGGUAAAGGCUCACCAAGCCGAUGAUCCAUAGCUGGUUUGAGAGGAUGACC